rnacentral:rRNA from 1 species
GACGAACGCUGGCGGCGUGCUUAACACAUGCAAGUCGAACGGAAAGGCCUUUUCGGCGGUACUCGAGUGGCGAACGGGUGAGUAACACGUGGGUGAUCUGCCCUGCACUCUGGGAUAAGCCUGGGAAACUGGGUCUAAUACCGGAUAGGACCGCACUUUAGUGUGUGUGGUGGAAAGUUUUUUCGGUGUAGGAUGAGCCCGCGGCCUAUCAGCUUGUUGGUGGGGUAAUGGCCUACCAAGGCGGCGACGGGUAGCCGGACUGAGAGGUUGGUCGGCCACAUUGGGACUGAGAUACGGCCCAGACUCCUACGGGAGGCAGCAGUGGGGAAUAUUGCACAAUGGGCGCAAGCCUGAUGCAGCGACGCCGCGUGGGGGAUGGCGGCCUUCGGGUUGUAAACUCCUUUCGCCAGGGACGAAGCGUUUUGUGACGGUACCUGGAGAAGAAGCACCGGCUAACUACGUG